rnacentral:rRNA from 1 species
UACGGGGGGGGGCAAGCGUUGUUCGGAAUUACUGGGCGUAAAGGGCUCGUAGGCGGCCAACUAAGUCAGACGUGAAAUCCCUCGGCUUAACCGGGGAACUGCGUCUGAUACUGGAUGGCUUGAGAUUGGGAGAGGGAUGCGGAAUUCCAGGUGUAGCGGUGAAAUGCGUAGAUAUCUGGAGGAACACCGGUGGCGAAGGCGGCAUCCUGGACCAACACUGACGCUGAGGAGCGAAAGCCAGGGGAGCAAACAGG